rnacentral:rRNA from 1 species
GAUCCUGGCUCAGGACGAACGCUGGCGGCACGCUUAACACAUGCAAGUCGAACGAGAGAAGAGGAGCUUGCUUUUCUGAUCUAGUGGCGGACGGGUGAGUAACACGUGAGCAAUCUGCCUUUCAGAGGGGGAUACCGAUUGGAAACGAUCGUUAAUACCGCAUAACAUAAUUGAACCGCAUGAUUUGAUUAUACAAAGUAUUUAUCGCUGAAAGAUGAGCUCGCGU